rnacentral:piRNA from 1 species
GGAAUGAACUAUUCACCCUACAAAGAGUCC